rnacentral:rRNA from 1 species
AUUGAACGCUGGCGGCAUGCCUUACACAUGCAAGUCGAACGGCAGCGGACCUUCGGGUGCCGGCGAGUGGCGAACGGGUGAGUAAUAUAUCGGAACGUACCUUUCAGUGGGGGAUAACGCAGCGAAAGCUACGCUAAUACCGCAUAUUCUGUGAGCAGGAAAGCAGGGGAUCGCAAGACCUUGCGCUUUGGGAGCGGCCGAUGUCGGAUUAGCUAGUUGGUGGGGUAAAGGCUUACCAAGGCGACGAUCCGUAGCGGGUCUGAGAGGAUGAUCCGCCACACUGGGACUGAGACACGGCCCAGACUCCUACGGGAGGCAGCAGUGGGGAAUUUUGGACAAUGGGCGGAAGCCUGAUCCAGCCAUGCCGCGUGAGUGAAGAAGGCCUCGGUUGUAAG